GAAAAAGUGAGUCUUAUAGAGCAAAAAAUAUGGUAGGUUGCACAGACAGCAUGAAUGUGUGUGUGUGUGUGUGUGUGUGUGUGUGUGUGUGUGUGUGUGUAGGGGGGGGGGAGAGAGAGAGAGAGAGAGAGAUACAACAUGGGUAGGCAAACUAAGGCCUGGGGGCCAGAUCCAGCCCAAUCGCCUUCUCAAUCCGGUCCGUGGACGGUCCGGGAAUCACCAUGUUUUUACAUGAGUAGAAUGUGUCCUUUUAUUUAAAAUGCAUCUCUGGGUUAUUUGUGGAGCCUGUCUGGUGUUUUUUACAUGAGUAGAACGUGUGCUUUUAUUUGUGGGGCAUAGGAGAUCGUUCAUAUUUUUUUCCAAAAUAUAGUCCGCCCCCCCUACAAGGUCUGAGGAACAGUGGACUGGCCCCCUGCUGAAAAAGUUUGCUGACCCCUGAGCUACAACAAAGCCCAGGCAGCCUGAAAGUUGUGCAUGGGAUGCUACGAUGAAGUCCACUUGCACUUCUCAGGUACCUUCUCUCUUCAAAUUUCUGCCAUGGAGACGCCUGAGUUCCUGUAGUUUGCAUCUGCUGUGUCCUAAAGGCUUAACAAGAGGCAUCAGAGACCCACAACAGAUCACCUCUGUAUUCUGUGUUUUGCAAAUAGCUGCCUCUCCCCUCUCCAUUUUGGAUCAAGCCCAUCACGUGGGUGGGUGUAACUAUCUGGCUUCUCAGAGCCGUCUUUCCUGCAGUUGGUGUUUGCUGCAGCUGCUCCUUCCCUUGGGUGGAAUUUUGUGCUCCUUCCUUCGUAGUAAUGUGAGUCGCUUGCAGCGCUGUGUUUACCUUGCUCUGCACACCUGCUUGUUUCCUUUACAGAGUUGACAUCUAACUCCAGAUACAUAGAUGUGGCACAUUGGCACCAAUGGAAGGAAGCAGAAAGCAACAGAGCACACAUGUUUGACAACGAUUUCAUUUGGGCGGGGAAGAGAGACAGCACUAUGUAGCCCUUGAAGUUCCUAUCAGAAUUUAAUAACUACUCUGAUUAUGCAACACUAGAUCUAUAAAGUAGUCCCAAGGGGAAACGUCAGUGCUUGCCAGUGGUUACCAUGGUUACAUCCAGUUCUUAACAAAGGAGGAACAAGUGUGAAUUCAAUUAUUCUUAUUUCAAAUACUGUGCAGCAGCACUUAUCCAAAUGGCCUGUAGGACAUAAAAACACAUUUGGAUAAUUAGGAGUUCAUAUAAUCAAAGGCUGGAGAUCGUUUACAUUAGCAGUAUGUGGUGGCAGUGGUAGCAGCAAUGUAAUAACCUGGCAGAAAGAUGAAAUUUAAAAUAGCUAAGGCUCUGCUAAGACACAGACACAUUUUAUUUUAUUCAAAACAAUUUUGGUCGCUCAAAAUCUCUUAAGCGGUGUAAAGGUAAAGGUACCGCUGACCGUUAGGUCCAGUUGCAGCACUCAGACCGUUAGGUCUGGGGUUGCAGCACUCAUCCCACUCUAUAGGCCGAGGGAGUCGGUGUUUGUCCUCAGACAGUUUUUCCGGGUCAUGUGGCCAGCAUGACUAAGCCGCUUCUGGCGAACCAGAGCAGCACAAGGAAAUGCUGUUUACCUUCCCGCCGGAGUGGUACCUAUUUAUCUACUUGUGGUAUCUAUUUAUCUUUGACGUGCUUUCGAACUGCUAGGUUGGCAGGAGCUGGGCAGGAGCAGGGACCUUAAAGUGGUAUACAACAGCU
rnacentral:lncRNA from 1 species